CCAAAACAUUGUCAGCCAUAACUAUGAACGCUCAUUAGCACAGAAUUGGGGAUAACAUUAUGUACGUGGUAAUUAUGAAACUGGACCAGGUAACUAGAAUGGCAUCGAUCACCGGAACAGUUUAAAGAGAUCUUUAAGUCAGUUUGACGGGACAGGCUAAUCUACUACCCAACCAGAAUUGAACAGAAUUCAAGGGUACAUCAAAAUCUGCAUUUUAAAUACCAAAACUAACUAAAGUAUUCAGUUGAUGAACUCAGUUGCCUGUGUACCAUGAGGGUUUAGUGUAAACUUUCAAUGAAUCAAAUCCACUUUUAUAAAUAAUAACAAUUACACAACGUUGAGGUCAAUAACGUGGGCAUCUACAACUAGCGAAGUCCCGGCAAAGAUAUAUUUUUUUUAAAAUUCCAAUCCACAUGCCUCACUUGUAAUAAACACGCAUCGUUCAAUUCUAUAGUACUGAUUACUGGUACGUAAUUAUGUUUAAUAGUAAUAAUCACAUAGUUAUGGUCUUACUAGAGAUGAACUAGAGUCUGUGAAACUAUCCACAUGUAUCAGUUGUAAUAAACAUUACAUCUUUCAA